rnacentral:rRNA from 1 species
GAGCGAACGCUGGCGGCAGGCCUAACACAUGCAAGUCGAACGAACCUUUCGGGGUUAGUGGCGGCCGGGUGAGUAACACGUGGGAACGUGCCUUUAGGUUCGGAAUAACUCAGGGAAACUUGUGCUAAUACCGAAUGUGCCCUUCGGGGGAAAGAUUUAUCGCCUUUAGAGCGGCCCGCGUCUGAUUAGCUAGUUGGUUGAGGUAAUGGCUCACCAAGGCGACGAUCAGUAGCUGGUCUGAGAGGAUGAUCAGCCACAUUGGGACUGAGACACGGCCCAAACUCCUACGGGAGGCAGCAGUGGGGAAUCUUGCGCAAUGGGCGAAAGCCUGACGCAGCCAUGCCGCGUGAAUGAUGAAGGUCUUAGGAUUGUAAAAUUCUUUCACCGGGGACGAUAAUGACGGUACCCGGAGAAGAAGCCCCGGCUAACUUCGUG